UACGAAGGUCCCAAGCGUUGUUCGGAAUCACUGGGCGUAAAGGGAGCGUAGGCGGCGUGGUAAGUCAGAUGUGAAAUCCCGGGGCUCAACCCCGGAACUGCAUCCGAUACUGCCGUGCUUGAGGGUUGGAGAGGUAGCUGGGAAUUCUCGGUGUAGCAGUGAAAAUGCGUGGAUAUCGAGAGGAACACUCGUGGCGAAGGCGAGCUACUGGACAACAUCUGACGCUGAGGCUCGAAGGCGUAGGGGAGCAAAAAGGG
rnacentral:rRNA from 1 species